rnacentral:lncRNA from 1 species
AUCACUGGCCUAUCCAGCGUCUGCUCCCCAGCCAGGCCUGGCACCAGGUGCUCCAGGCACAAUCUCAGUCAGUCUUCCCAGCUGCUCCAGUGGUGGGGAUGGUUAUCAGCCCACUUUACAGAUGGGCAAAUAAGGAGAGACGCACUGCCUCCCCGAGGCCACAGGGCUAGACGGUGGCUGACCCGUCUGACCCGGGGACAGUGGGGUCCCCGCUCGGUAGCCCAUACAGCCUCCCAUUACCACCCCCACACCUGCCCCUGGAGACGCCCCCAAGACUAACAUGAAGAAUGGACUCCCUUCUCUUAGAACAUACAAGAAAGAUUGGUACUUCUCAAGUUGACAUUUUAUUUAAUCCAGGUGCCUCGGAGCAUACCCAGACUUCUCCCCAGGAAGAGAGACUGACAGCACGUCCGAGACCGGGGGCACAUUCAGCCUUUCCAGUCCUGCUUCCCAGCCUAAGCUCUGGUCUUGGAUCCUGCCCUGUUCCCAGACACUGAGAGAGGAAAGAAAGUCCUUCUAACUGGUCCCCGAGACUCGUGUCCCCAGCGGUCGUCCAUCGGGCUAUUCACUGUGUUCUGCUCCCCAGGCCUUCUGGAAGGACAGUGCUCCCUGUCCCCUUUAAUUAGAUGACUUACCCUGAACAAAAAAAAAAAGAGAUAAAUAAUGUGUGCCACAUCAGGGCAGAGGUAUUAAGAGGAAGUGCACAGUUUCCCACAUUUCUUUCCACGUCCCAGUGAUGAAGGAACCCAUGCUGAAAUGGGGCCUCUGUUAGCCCGGAUGCCUGAGUGACUAUGCAGAGUGGAGACCGCUGCCAACCUUCAUUGUGAGGAACACUACAUUCUUGUGUGGGUCUUGUCCAAUCAGUCGAAGGCCUGAAUGGAACGAAGCCCAACCUGCCUCCUGAGUCAGAGAGAAUUCUCCUGCCUGAAGCCCUGCAGACUGCAGCACCAGCUUUCUGGCUCUGCAGCAGCUUCCAGCCCUGGACAGAAGCUGCAAAGUUGGCUCUGCAGGUUUUGGAUCUGCCCGCCUCCAUAAUCGCGUGAGCCAAUUCCAUACACACGUGAGGAAGUGUCAUGAUGAAUCUAGUCGGCCUCUUCACCCUGUCCCCCUUGCUUCUCGGAUGGUGGUGGCAGAUGGCAGUGGCCACAGCAUCCAUUCACCUGGUGGCCUGAGCCUGUGACCCUCUGUGUGGCUGACCAGGUUUGCAUAAUCAGGGUCCACUUGGAGACCCAAAACUUCACACACAAGUCCCCGGGACUGGGGACCUGCAGGCAAGAGCAGGUCACCAGCACUUUGGUUUCCUGCCCUGACUGAGGCCUAACCCAGCUUUGCAGAGACCUAAACUAAGCACACCAUUGGGCUUUCCCUGUUGGUGAACAAGUCUGUUGGUUGUGUUUUUUCAUAGAGCCUGUGUUCCCCAUAACUCGUUGCAUAAAUGGGAACAGGCCAGAGGAUGGUUUUCCUCUGUGCCAGGAGCCUUAGCUGGAAACACUCAAGUGGCCAAGGGCCAGAGUCAUAGGAGGCUUCCUCACACACAUCUCGGUAUCCAGGCUGAAACAUUCUCAGGCUGGACUCGGCUGGACUGUUCACCGAGCGCCCACAUGUGGCCUCUUCCUAUGGCAUGGGCUUCUCCCAGAGUGGCGGCUGGGUUCCAAGAAGAAACUUCUUGCUUCCCGAAAGCAAGAGUGAGCUUUCCAACAGAAUCAGCAAAAGCUGCAUGGCCGUUUCUGAAACUAGACCUGAAAGUCACAAAGAAUCACCCCCGCUGCUUCCAUUAACGUCAAGCAACUCAUAAGGCCAGCCCAGACCUAAGGGAGGGGAAUUAGACCCAGCUCUUGUCGGGGAGUAUCCAGUUCCCAUGGCCUGAGAGUAUGUGGGUGGGAGACAGGCCACUGCCGUCCUUGGAGAAAUACUGCCUGCCGUACCCCGGAAGGGAAGAAGUGUGAUUAGUCAGAUAUGGGGACCAGAGCCCUCUCCUCUUAUAACAGUGCUCCUGAUAGCUCUACUACCCUGCUCUGACCAGGGAGCACCUCAAACAGAGGGGCAGUCGCUCAGCUGGACCAGGAGGCACUGGACCCCCUGUAGUGUCACCAGUCCCGAGAAAUGGGCGUUGGAAGGCUGGAGCUUCAUUCUGCCCAGACAAGGAAAACACACGCUGGCAGAGAAGGAAGUGAGCACAGCUCUUGCAGCACAGUUCUACCAGCAAGUCUGGGCAGGUACCCUCCUUCAUCCUUCAAAGUGGCAUGUGCUCCUGACUUCAGUGUGCACCACGGCAGCCUCCAGGGCCAGCACGUCAGAGGAAAGAUGCUCUAGUCCUCAGCAGAGCCAUGGCCUUCCAGCAGCCAAGGGCCCUGGCCAGCCCCUAAAAAACACCAAAAACCAAGGCGCAUCCCAGGGUAGGGUGGACACAUCCCUUGCCUGGGGGUCCUCUGUCUCUUCUCCGAUUUCUCCAGGGAAAGCAAAUACCCGACUUGGGAACUGGAGCCUUGUCCCAUCCAGACCACCUUUGACCCACACGAACGCAGCCAUUGUCUCUCCCUGUCACAUUUAUCUCAGAUUGAAGACCUAUCUUCAAGACUUCUGGAAAGACCCUAUCCUUUUGUGUAAGAAGCCUCAUGAGAAAGAACUUACUGGAAGGAACGAAGAGAGGAGAUGAGCGAGCUUGCUUCAGUGGCUGCCGCACAUCCCCGUCAGAAGAGACGAGGUGGCAUCAGGAGCCCCUCAGAGCUUUAGAGCAUGGACGUUCUGCUCUGGACUUGUGGCUGAAUGAGAGGAGCCAUUUCUCCUUCUUCUCCAGGGCUGUGCUUGGGGCCAGGGUCUCAUAACAGCAAUCAGGAGAGUCCCGGGCUCUCGGCAGGGAGCCAGAACCCCCAGCAUCCAAAACAGGGAAGAAGGAGCUGAGAACAUGGGGUGUGGGAAUGGCGGUGGGGAGCUCACCUCCACAGAGAGGAGCAGACACUGCAGGUCAGCUGCGUGAACUGUGCUCACCACCACAUGGGGGACAUGCCCUGGGGACUGCCCAAACUACUGACGGCAGGAGAGGCAAGAGAGCCACGACCUCGCAAAAAGGAGACGACCCGAAGAAACGCUAUGAUCUCUCACUGCUACUAGCCUAAUAUCCCCACAACUCAGCAGCCAUGAAUCAAAUGCUUGCACCUGGAAAUUGAGAACCUCUCAGAAGAUUCCAGGAGAACCCAGAAGCAUUACAAAGCCUAGAUCCAGGUGAAUUCAAGCCAAAAUGUUAACGAGUAAAGAGGACUGGAUGUGCUCUUGCUGUCCAGUGAAGAAUCUGGCCGGCCUUUGUCCCUGGUUCCUAGGAGGUAGCUUCUAAUUUCUGAAUGAUUGGAGUGUCUUUGCUACUUACGGUGCAAUUAGUGCCGAGUUUAUGCUAAGGAGAUGACUCAGGGUGGGGGCCGGCCAGGCCAGAAAGACCAAGAGUGUUGGGACUCGAGCUACAUGACAUCAGCCCAACCUCCAGGGGAGGGAGAGAGAUGGAGAUCAAGCCCAGUCAUGUAGCCAGUGAUUCCAUCAACCAUGCUUACGGAACGAAACACCAAUAGAAGUUCUGGAUGCUGAGGCUCAAGUGAGCCCUGAUUGGUGAUGCUCAUCAGUGUGCCAGGAGGGUGCCACAUCCCAAGGUCACCGAAGCGUCACAUCUUGGACCCUCCCAGACUUUCCCUUCUGUGUCUCUUCAUUGGGCUGAUCUUGAUUUGUGUCCUUUAUAAUAAAACUGUGAUCAUGAGAAUAGUGCUUUCCUGAGUUUUGU